rnacentral:rRNA from 1 species
UACGGGGGGGGCAAGCGUUGUUCGGAAUUACUGGGCGUAAAGGGCUCGUAGGCGGCCAACUAAGUCAGACGUGAAAUCCCUCGGCUUAACCGGGGAACUGCGUCUGAUACUGGAUGGCUUGAGUUUGGGAGAGGGAUGCGGACCUCCAGGUGUAGCGGUGAAAUGCGUAGAUAUCUGGAGGAACACCGGUGGCGAAGGCGGCAUCCUGGACCAACACUGACGCUGAGUGAGCGAAAGCCAGGGGAGCAAACGGG